UCGACCCUGGCGUCGGUCUUUAGGUGUGCCUUGAUCUUGACGAUAAUAUGCUAUCCACGGACUAUGUUAACCGAAGCUCUAGCGUGACUAUUUUUUGAUAAGGCGAUUCCGACCGUUGAGCUCACAAAUUUAUAGGGGGGAGCAACUAGGAGAUUAUAGCAUAUGCCAAGAUGCUUCCACACUUUUCUGUUUUGCCGAAUAAAUCAUGGAAGCUCGACCCAAGGAACCGAACUUCCAUGAACUGCUGCUUGUGGGAUGUCUUGGGUGUGAUGAGGAAACGGGUCAUGCGAUAGUAUUGGACCUCAGCAGUAGCUGUCUCGACGGCUCUAUUGGCUCGCGUAGUAGUCUCUUUAGGCUAGCCCACCUCCAGAGGCUCAGCCUUGCAGACAAUGACUUUGACAGGUCACGAAUUACAUCAGGGUUUGGGCGCCUUUCGGGCUUCACUCAGCUUGACCUCUCUGGCUCAUCCUUUUCUGGCCAUGUCCCUCCGGAAAUAUCCCAACUGACCGAAUUGGUUUCGCUCAAUUUGGGCUGUGAUUUUGGCUUUUGUCAGGAACAGCUUUAGCUGACAAGCCCGGUUUGAGCCGCUUGGUUCUGAACCUGACCAAACUAUAGUUGCUCAACCUGAGUUACGUGAACAUAUCAUCAGAAGUGCCCAGGAGCGUCGCGAACUUGUCUCCUCUGAGGACACUGAUCUUGGACUUGAGUGUCUCUUUUUCCCGAGCAGAAUAUUUCAGCUACCCAACUUGGAUCAAAUUUGAUUGGAAAAUUGUCCUGAUGGGGAAUGGAAGUGGAUUAGUGAUCGUAAUGGUUAUUGGUAGUACUUUCGCCUCAGAUGAACAUGAUUGGCUUGCGAGAAUUAUCGUGAGGGUGGAGGAACACAGGAGGCGGCAGGGAAUCAAAAGGAAGAGAGGCUAGGAACUGAAUUUCACUCGAAUUUGUUUCCUCUCAAGGGAUGCUAGCUUUGUACUAUACGUGCCGUGUUUUUGUGUUUCUGCAAUUUGCUCGAAAGCAAAAAGCGGCAUUUUAAAGUUUUUGUUUGUUUACGGACUAUAUGUAUACCUUACUGUAACCAGCGGAUUCCAGUACUGUAGUUUCUGCUUUCCCGAUAGUUGAUGAAAUUGGUCUUGAUAUAUUGUACAUUCA